UACAGGGGGUGCAAACGUUGCUCGGAAUCAUUGGGCGUAAAGCGCACGUAGGCGGUUCGUUAUGUCGGAUGUGAAAGCCCUUGGCUUAACCGUGGAAGUGCAUCCGAAACUGGCGAGCUAGAGUACGAAAGAGGAUCGCGGAAUUCCCGGUGUAGAGGUGAAAUUCGUAGAUAUCGGGAGGAACACCGGUGGCGAAGGCGGCGAUCUGGGUCGAUACUGACGCUGAGGUGCGAAAGCGUGGGGAGCAAACAGG
rnacentral:rRNA from 1 species